AGUGAAAGCUUAAUUUGUGUGUGACCAGUGCACUAAACCCAGGGCAGGUUGUGCACAAGUAAAAGCAAGAAGCAGUGCAGCAUGGAUAUUGGACAUAAAAAUAUAGAAGCUGUGGCUGCUGUGUGCAUGCAUAACUUAUUUAGUGUUAGAAUAGUGUUAUACCUUAUCCACAGCAAUGGUGAAUUGCACAGGUGUGUUUGGG